GAAGAAGACAAGAACAGGUGGUGGCGAUACAUGUUACAGUGAGACAAAACGAUGACUGCAUAUGCAUCGAAAGCGAAGCCUUCAGAGUUGGUAGAUUGUAUCGGUGUCCUUUUUGUGCAAUACAGUACAGAAUACAUUCUGAAACUUGUGUUGGGGAGGAUUCCAUGUCUGUUGAGGCCCAUGUGAAUGUGCUACAAAUUGAGUAUCGGAAAACUCAUCCAGACAUCUCGACUGUCCAAGACCACAUGGCACGAACAUUCUCCUGGAGACGUUGAGAAAGCAUGGAAGGAAUGUCUGUGGAGGAUGUACUCAAAAAAUACCCAUACUUAAGGACACCUGCUGGAGGGGACCCUGCUACACCCUUUCCAACCAUACAACUGAUGGAUACUGACUGGAAAAUGGCAAUCAUAGGAGGAGGGCUCAGUG